rnacentral:rRNA from 1 species
AACGUAGGAGACAAACGUUAUCCGGAGUUACUGGGCGUAAAGGGCGCGUAGGCGGCACUGUUAGUCAGGCGUGAAAGUCCUGGGCUCAACCUGGGAACUGCGCUUGAUACGGCAGAGCUAGAGGAUGGAAGAGGCUCGCGGAAUUCCCAGUGUAGAGGUGAAAUUCGUAGAUAUUGGGAAGAACACCGGUGGCGAAGGCGGCGAGCUGGUCCAUUACUGACGCUGAGGCGCGACAGCGUGGGGAGCAAACAGG